AAUAAAUAUUUUAUUCAUUAACUCAAUAGAAAUAACAUUUAGGCAUUUUAAAAGUCUCAAACCUUGUUUUUUUUUUUAAAAAAAAAUUCCUAGUUAUUUUAAAAAUUUAUUUCUUACUUUCCAAACGGAUCCUAAGACUUCCAUUUCGGUACCCGCCUCGCUCCGGCCCUGAUUUUUUUUGGGUUCGAACCGAGUUCCUCCUAGUCAGCUUAUACCGAAAAAACGAAGAACAGUCCAAUUUUAAUUACAGUGGUGCACCAAAGUUGGUUGAGUUGAGAGCUCUUCUCCUCCAUUGUCUCGCCAAUCUAUGGAGCAGAACCAGAGAGCUUCGAGGGCUUUCCAGUUCCACCCUGCUAGACCUGCCAUUCUCGAUCUGUUCAACCUCUACUUAGGAAGAAGUGCUCGCCAAAAAGCCGAAGAGUCAAUCCGAGAACCUCCGUAC